AACGAACGCUAGCGGCAUGCCUAACACAUGCAAGUCGAACGAGAUCUUCGGGUCUAGUGGCGCACGGGUGCGUAACGCGUGGGAAUCUGCCCUUUGGUUCGGAAUAACAGUUGGAAACGACUGCUACUACCGGAUGAUGACGAAAGUCCAAAGAUUUAUCGCCAGAGGAUGAGCCCGCGUAGGAUUAGCUAGUUGGUGUGGUAAAGGCGAACCAAGGCGACGAUCCUUAGCUGGUCUGAGAGGAUGAUCAGCCACACUGGGACUGAGACACGGCCCAGACUCCUACGGGAGGCAGCAGUGGGGAAUAUUGGACAAUGGGCGAAAGCCUGAUCCAGCAAUGCCGCGUGAGUGAUGAAGGCCUUAGGGUUGUAAAGCUCUUUUACCCGGGAUGAUAAUGACAGUACCGGGAGAAUAAGCUCCGGCUAACUCCGUGCCAGCCGCCGCCGUAA
rnacentral:rRNA from 1 species